rnacentral:rRNA from 1 species
GAUGAACGCUGGCGGCGUGCCUAAUACAUGCAAGUCGAGCGGACAGACGCUGAGCUUGCUCCGCUGACGUUAGCGGCGGGCGGGUGAGUAACACGUGUAUAAUCUACUUAUAAGACUGGGAAAAUUUCGAGAAAGGGGCUCAUAUACCGGAGAAUAUAUUGAAGCGCGGGGUUCAAUGGAGAGAUUCGGCUUUGGGGGAUGGUCUAGCUGCUUCCGCGCUGGAUUGGCUAGUUGGUAGGGUCACAGCUUACCAAGGCAACGAGGCGUGGCCGACGUGAGAGGGUGAUCGGCCACACUGGAACGGAGACACGGUCCAGACUCCUACGGGAGGCACCAGUAGGGAAUCUUCCGCAACGGGCGAAAGCCUGACGCAGCAACGCCGCGUGUGAGAUGAAGGUCUUCGGAUCGUAAAACCCUGUUAUUGGGGAAGAACAAAUGUGGAAUUAACCAUGCCCGUCUUGACGGUACCUAAUCAGAAAGCACCGGCUAACUACGUG